CAUAGCGACUAUCGUGGCAUAUCAAUAAGCGGAGGAAAAGAAACUAACAAGGAUUCCCUAGUAAUGGCGAGUGAAGCGGGAAGAGCUCAAAUUUGAAAUCUUAAAGGGUUCUACCUUGACGAAUUGUAGUUUAUAGAAGUGUUUUCUGUAGUGGAGUUCGGUAAAAGUUCUUUGGAAUAGGACAUCAUAGAGGGUGAGAAUCCCGUAUUUGACCGUUACUUUCCAGCUGUGUGAUACACUUUCAAAGAGUCGGAUUGUUUGGGAAUGCAGUCCAAAAUGGGUGGUAAAUUUCAUCUAAAGCUAAAUAUUGGCGAGAGACCGAUAGCGAACAAGUACCGUGAGGGAAAGAUGAAAAGAACUUUGAAAAGAGAGUUAAACAGUACGUGAAAUUGUCAAAAGGGAAGCGUUCGACACCAGUGUUGUUUAGUUGAAAAUCAAUUCAAUAAUUUUUGAUUUUGAGUAGUAUUGACUUCAUCAGCUUGCUGCUUUCUUUUCGGAAAUUAUUGAAUGCACUUUUCAGUUAACAAGUCGACAUCAAUUUCUUUUGUUGUAAAAGGGUAAGAGGAAGGUGGCUUACGCUUCGGCGUAAGUGUUUAUAGCCUUUUACCUCUGCAAUCGGAGAGAUUGAGGACAGCAGCGUAGACUCUUCGGGGUUAGAUACACUUGUGCUAAGCUAUAGCCAUGUAUAGACAACUUGUUGACUAUGCUCAGUCAUGUAGCUUACUCGCUUGUGCUAUUUUACCUACGCUUAGGAUGUUGAUAGUCACAGCGUGUAC
rnacentral:rRNA from 1 species